rnacentral:rRNA from 1 species
AGCGAACGCUGGCGGCAGGCUUAACACAUGCAAGUCGAGCGGGCACUUUCGGGUGUCAGCGGCGGACGGGUGAGUAACGCGUGGGAACGUGCCCUCUGGUUCGGAAUAACUCAGGGAAACUUGAGCUAAUACCGGAUACGCCCUUUUGGGGAAAGGCUUGCUGCCGGAGGAUCGGCCCGCGUCUGACUAGCUAGUUGGUGAGGUAACGGCUCACCAAGGCGACGAUCAGUAGCUGGUCUGAGAGGAUGAUCAGCCACACUGGGACUGAGACACGGCCCAGACUCCUACGGGAGGCAGCAGUGGGGAAUAUUGGACAAUGGGCGCAAGCCUGAUCCAGCCAUGCCGCGUGAGUGAUGAAGGCCUUAGGGUUGUAAAGCUCUUUUAUCCGGGACGAUAAGGACGGUACCGGAGGAAUAAGCCCCGGCUAACUUCGU